rnacentral:rRNA from 1 species
GUCGAGAAUAAUUCACAAUGGACGAAAGUCUGAUGGUGCAACGCCGCGUGGAGGAUGAAGGUCUUCGGAUUGUAAACUCCUGUCAUCGGGGAGUAAGACCUGGCGGUAAAUAGCCGACAGGGUUGAUAGUACCCGAAGAGGAAGGGACGGCUAACUUCGUGCCAGCAGCCGCGGUAAUACGAAGGUCCCAAGCGUUGUUCGGAAUCACUGGGCGUAAAGGAAGCGUAGGCGGCGUGGUAAGUCAGAUGUGAAAUCCCGGGGCUCAACCCCGGAACUGCAUCCGAUACUGCCAUGCUUGAGGGUUGGAGAGGUAGCUGGAAUUCUCGGUGUAGCAGUGAAAUGCGUGGAUAUCGAGAGGAACACUCGUGGCGAAGGCGAGCUACUGGACAACAUCUGACGCUGAGGCUCGAAGGCCAGGGGAGCAAAAGGGAUUAGAAACCCGGGUAGUCC